ACAGUGAUCCUUUUGCCUCAGCCUCCCAAGUGUUGGAAUCACUUGUGUUUGCCAUCACACCCGGCAACAAUGUGAUAUUUUGAAAAUACACAGUAUUUUAUUUCUUGGGGGGAUUCAGUUAAGCAUAAUUACUUAUAAAUUUAAUAUUAAUAUCAUAGGUUAUAUAAAUUAUAUCCCAAUUCAUGUAAUCAUAAAACAAUUAGAUAAUUGUCCUCAAAACAUGAAAUUUAGGUUAAUUAAUCUUUCUUCCAAUGUUAUUUUCCUAUAAGGAACUGGGAAUUGAAUGUCAUCUUGUGCAAGCAGUCCUACCCUGGCGUGGAUGUGAGCCAGAUGUCUUUUAACCCCAUGAACUGGCACCAGCUGUGCUUGUCCAGCCCAAAUACAGUGACUGUGUGGACCGUUGAAAGAAGUGACCAGGAGCAUUAUUUCAAAGCAAAGUCAGUGAAACUACCGCUGGAAGAUGGGUCAUUUUUAAAAGAAAUAGAUGUGCUGUUCCCCCAGUCGCUGCCCAAGGACCCCAUCUACGGGCCGGUGCUGCCCCUGUCGGCCAUUGCUGGGCUGGCAGGCGAAGAGGCCGAGACUUUCAGGGUAAAGACCUUGCUGGGCUAACGGGUGCAGUCUGGGGAGCGGGGUCUCAGCUUUCACGUCUAACCGUGCCAGACAUGCAGGAUGGGAAGAUCGCGCUGGGUUUUCAGAGAGGAGAGCCGCAGACUGCAGGAGACAGACACUGGAGUUUGGAGUUUGGAGGGCUGGGAAGAUGAUGGCAGAAACGGGGGCACAGAUGUGAUUUCAACUUCGGACAUACUGAAGAUGCUGGGCAGAGGCCAGCGAGUGGCCCCAGUGUCAGGAGAGCGGGCGGGGCACAGGUGCUGGCGUCACUUGCAGAGAGUGCAUGGGAGCCGGGAGUAGGUCCGAUGAGCAGGCUGAAAGAGGAAGCAGGAGGAGGAAAGAGCGGGGAGGAAGCAGACUGCCAAAGCGGGAGGAGGAAGGGGCUCCUGGGGAGGCACAGUCCCAGAAGCAGGAGCAAAGGCAGGCGAGAGGGACCCAGGAAAG
rnacentral:lncRNA from 1 species